GGCGGCGGGGCCGGGCGCUGCCGCGAUGCUCCGCCGCAGCCUGAGCCGCCUGGUCUGCCUUGGUGAUGAUGUCUCAUCUGCUUCCUCACCUUCACUGCUGUCAGUGCCACGUGGAUGCCAAUAGCCCACAGGUCAGGAAGGCAGCCUGUCCUCUGCAUGUCCCUUGUGCAAUGCCUUGGGCUCAGCUGCUUGGUGUCUUUCUGGACAGUAACCAGAGCAGACUAGGUUGGCACUGUGCAGUCUUUGUAGCAGGCUGUUACUUGCAAUUUGUGUGCUUCGUGCUGCUUUACUGUGGAGGUUUUCCAUCUGGGGCUCAUUUUAUUUAAUUACAAAACUGUAUGCAUACUGCCACAAAGUGGGGUGAUAAAGGACAUGCGUGCAGGAGCUGGUUCCUGUGCUACCUGUGGCUGCCAGCUAGUGACCCAAGCAGUCUGGCAGUGCCUCACCGCCUGCUUGCACAUCCUCCAGAGUGAGCUUUGCUUGCUUCUUGUGUUAAGCCUGUGACAGGGGAGGGCUUUUUCCCUUGUGCAAACAAUUGCAAAUUUACUUUCAUAAUCCCUUCCUGGAGCACCCAGAUGCUGGGUCCUGUCUCUGCAGAUGGAAGUUCCCAUGCAUACAAGCAGUGCUUGGCAAGAAGUGCAAGUUAUGCUUUGGACAAGGUGGUUGUACAAUGUCCCUUUGUAUUUUGAAAGUCAUCUUACGUGAUUUGCCCCAAAACCCCAUGCAGAGGAACACUGGUGUUGCAAGGCUUGGGUGGGGGCUGCCUGGGUGCAUUCCUGCUGUGCUGCCCUGCCCUACCAACUUAGUGCUUUGAUGCUCCCUCCACCUUCCCCAGGGCAUAAAUCUCUGUGAUCGGAGCAUUUUGACCUCUUGUGUCACCUAAGCCUUAACUGCCUGGCCCCCCUGUCCUCUGGGAAGGAGCAAAGGCAGAAGAAAGGCCUGGGAAAAGGCAUGUGUUGACUCAAGAGGUGUGUGCCGGAGGUUGAUCAGAUCCUGCCUGAGAAGCCUGGGGCUCCUGCAGCAGGGAGAAGGGUCAGGCAGUGGGUGCUGCUCACUGCCCUCCUGGGGCCGGUCUAAUCUGAUACUCCACAGGAAAGCUAUCGUCCACAGAGAUGCACUCCAAUGGCAGAAAGAAAAAUCAAAUUCCCCAUGCAAUGUGGUGGACCACAAGGAGUGUCCUUAGCGUGAUAACGCUGUUUGCCACACUGAGACCGAGUUCUGCUGAUAGCAGCUGCAGUGCAGACCACGAAUUACCGCAGAGGAACAGGAUCAGCAAGCUAGAAAUAAGGAACGAGAGCAGUGGGGAAGGUGCAGAGCAGGCUGUUGCACGCAGGACAGUGUGGUGCUGGGCUGUUGCCUGUUUGUUUUUCCAUGGUGCAGACCCCCCGUUUGGUCACGGAGGGAUUCUCCUUUUUCCUGACUGCUGGUCAUAACACUUUUUGCUGUUGUAUCUGCUGUUCUGUAAUACAAGGUGGGACUUUGUCCUGUAAGGAAGGGUGCUAGGAAUGUGCUUGUGAGUACCUGGGGAGCAGCCCUGAGUGGCCUUGGGCUUUGCCAAGUGCAUGAGCUGCAAGCAGCCUCCUCACCCCAAGAGCACUGUGGGUUUUGGUCUGUGCCUGCCAGCUCCAACGUGCUCCUUUCUUUGAACAGCUGAGUCUCUUAUCAAAGCCCAUACCCUGAGAAAAAGUUUCUCAAAGUUCUGUAACCGUUCUUCUUUAAAGUUGCAGAACAUUCUCCUUCCCGGAGCUUUUUUUCCCAGAAAUAGCUCAACCGUUUGGCUAAAAAUAAAUAAAAUCAAACAAAAACCCAGCCUCAGACAAGUGAAAUGUUCAUGUGUGCAGCUCAAGUUUGGAGAGGUUUGAAACUGCUGCAAGGAGGAGCUGGAAAGCACCGGUCAGAGUUAAAGCAGUGCUGCCAAUGAAACCCUCUGUGUUUAGAAGCUUCCUCUGAGAAUUAGAUAUGUGCAGGGGUUGCAUUUUAUUCUUUCUGACUCCAGUUGUAUUUUGCUGAGAAUAAUGAUGAUCUGCUGUGUUGUACGGGCAAAGUUUAGAGUCUGGCUUGUUGCUGAAUUGCAACUGCAAGCAUGGCAAUUUGCUUUUAACAGUGGAAACUAUAAAAGCAAACAGGCCCUCUAUUAAUAGCAGGGUUUUUGGACUUGUCUUUAAUGUAAUCCUGUUGCCCUUGAUUUAUGUGCUUUCUUUUUGGUUAAAGCUGCUGCUUUCUGUCUGUAGCUGUUCAUAUCCUCUCUGCUGGGGAGGUUUUUGAAAUUGUAUUGAGGAAAAGCAAAGGUUGCUGAGAACAUAAUCAGAGUCUGAACCAGAAGAAACCUUCACUGUGAAGCACUUGCUGAGGCUCAUGGCUGAGAGCAGCCUGCCUUUGGCAGCUUAUUCCUCAGUGCUGAUGGACUGCAUGCAGUUGAAGACUUUUUCCUUUUACAGAGAGGAGGAAGUGCUUGGGGCGUGUUGUCUAGGAAGGGUGGAUUUGUGUCUUCCAAGAAACUUGGAAUUGGGGUGAUGGAGUGUGUUCUUAAGCAACUUAUUUUUCCCAGGAGAUGUCAUUUCAGGGGAUUUUCCAAGGGAGUUUCUGUAUUUUAAUUGUGUUUAGGAGUGGAUGCCAAUGCUGGGAGCUCUGCCUGCGCCCAUCUGCAUGCUUGGCUGUUCCUUUCAUGGCCUUCUGCUGGAAAGUGCCCACCAGAGUCCCCCACUGAGCCCUGCUCCAGGGCAGUCAGUAGUUGCCAGCGUGCUGGUACAGCUUGAGCUUGCAAAAUACCUUACGUGAGACCUUGCACUGAAAGCUGCUUCUCCUGGUUCUUCAUGUCAGAAGAAUUCUGUGAUAGCUGAGGUCCACUGCUGGGAAGCACAGGCUGGGUUUUGCCUGGCAGGUUUUGCCAGUGCUGUGGCUCUGAGAGCACACAAGUUUUGGACUUUACCUGCGUAUUCUCUGCCCAGCCAGUGGACUUGGAUAUCUGGGCUUUGAUCUCUGCAAAUCAUUAAAUAUCACCACAGGGAAGCUGGGAGAACUGCAACCUCUGCUCCUCUUAUCUCUGAUGAGCAGACUGUCUUCUUUGUGCCCCUGUUUUAAUAGCCAAGAGGUUGCAGAGCUGUGGGCACCCCAGCCUUGAGGUUCUGUGCCCACUGGGGCUGAGGGUUAUUGCUGGGGCCUUUCACACCAUUGCACUUGUGUCAGCAGUGAGUGCUGUGUGAGCCGUGCAUUGGUGGGAUGGGGCUGCUUAGCUGCAUCUUAACCAUGAGGACCCCGUGCCCAUCAGGAGGUGUGUCCUGCUGAUGGGAAGGUGGGCAGUAAGUUCACAGUUGGUAAUUGUAAGCCACUUCUGGUAGUAAUGAUAUCAUAAAACCAGUUAGGUUGGAAAAGACGUAUGAGAUCACCAGGUCUAACCAUCACCUAAUGCUGCAGUCUGCAACCAAAUCCCUGGGUACCACCCUCACCCACCUCCAUGAAGAAAUUCUUCCUGAUAGCCAGUCUGUACCUCCCCAUGCAACUUGAGGCUAUUUCCUUGUAUUCUAUCAGUUGUCACAUCAGGAAAAUGAUUAAACAUCUUAGCAGGUCCUUACAGAGGGCACCAAAGCCUCCCUUCGUGCUGAGCAGCCCCAGUUCUCUCAACUGUUCCUUGUAACUCUUGUUUUCCAGUCUCAUCACCAGCUUUGUUGCUCUUCUCUAAAUCCUUCAGCAACAAAAAAUCCUUUUUAUAGCAAGAGGCCCAAACUAAGCACAGUGCUUGAGGUUGGGCCUCACUGGGGAGCACUGUCUGUGACCAGCUGCUCUAAUGCCAUUCGCAGUGAUAUUCCAUGCUAUCCUCUCUGUUGCAGUUUUGCUUUCCUGUGGUUCUUUGCACGCUAUCUGAAGGAUGGCAUUACUAACACAGUGCAGCCCAGCUGCUCUCCUUAACCACUGCACUGCAGUUUGCUGAAUUAUUUUGUCUUUUCUGGCGUCUGACCACCAGGUUAUUCACUGUCAUGUAAUCAAUGAAUACUGGAUCUAGUUAGCUAGUACUUUGCUUUUUGCAGUACGUAAGGCUCCAGGAUGUGUGUGAAUCUGUUACACAGAUUGCAGUCACCCAUUUGUGGUUACAAAGUGAUGCUUUCCCUGCAGUGCUGGUCUGCCUGGCCCUGGUGCAGUGCCUGAGUUUCUCUGUGCUGCAUGAGGCUGAUGCCUGCUGCAGUUACGGGAAGUUGCUUUGCUUUUGUUUUGUUUUGCUUUUUUGGUUUGCACAGGACAGUUUAUCUUGACCCACAGCACCUUUCUUCCUGCUGAGUGGUGGGAAGAUGUGGUGAAAGUGUUCCUCAGCCUGUCCAUGUGGUGAAAGCCUUGGAUGCUGCCUUUAGUCCUUUGCUUCCCGUGGAGUCCAGUGGGAUGCAGCUGUUUGGGAACAGCUUUUGUAACAACAGGAAGGGGAUAAAAAGACAUCACUUAAAUAAUUGCCUUGGUGUUUUCGUCCUUUGGGCACAUGGUUGGGGUCGUGGCAGACAGGUCCUGUGGAUUUCAGAUCUUACCUUCAGGGCUGCCAACUCCGCCAGACUGUGGCCAGAAUGUUGGCUGGAAAUUUUGCUUGAAGAUGCUUUGUCACAAAUGGAGGGGAAAAACAUCAAUAUGCAUUUAAAAUCUCCUUUCACUAUCCUGGAUGUGAAGUUGCUGCAGUAGCAAUACAUCUGCUUUCAAAAUGUUCUGUACUCUCUUGCUUUGUUGUAUCUUGUAUUGCAGCAGUCAUAGGCUGUAAAAGAAACUUGCCUUAACCAAGCACUCUAUCGAGCAGAAAACACCUCAUGAUUGCAAAUGUAUGCAUUUAAAAAAAAUCUUUGUAUGUUAAAAUUUAGAUGCGUUAAAUACAGA